AAAUACAUCGAUCAUUUACUUAUAUCAAGACCGGAUAGUCACUGAAGCUAAGCAGGGCUGAGCCUGGUUAGUACCUGGAUGGGAGACCACUAGGGAACACUAGGGGCUCUAUUUU
ensembl:rRNA 5S_rRNA 5S ribosomal RNA